AGAGAUCAUGGCUCAGAAUCAACGCUGGCGGCGUGCCUAACACAUGCAAGUCGAACGCGAAAGGGGCUUCGGCCCUGAGUAGAGUGGCGAACGGGUGAGUAACACGUGGGUGAUCUACCUUCGAGUGGGGGAUAACGUUCCGAAAGGAACGCUAAUACCGCAUGACGUUCUGGGUUUAAAGACUCGGAAACCAAAGCCGGGGACCGCAAGGCCUGGCGCUUGAAGAGGAGCCCGCGUCCGAUUAGCUAGUUGGCGGGGUAAUGGCCCACCAAGGUGACGAUCGGUAGCCGGCCAGAGAGGGCGGACGGCCACACUGGAACUGAGACACGGUCCAGACUCCUACGGGAGGCAGCAGUGGGGAAUUGUUCACAAUGGGCGCAAGCCUGAUGACGCAACGCCGCGUGGGGGAUGAAGGUCUUCGGAUUGUAAACCCCUGUCGAAUGGGACGAAAGACCCGGGAGCUAAUCAUCCUGGGAGUGACGGUACCGUUAAAGGAAGCCACGGCUAACUCUGUGCCAGCAGCCGCGGUAAUACAGAGGUGGCAAGCGUUGUUCGGAAUUACUGGGCGUAAAGGGCGCGUAGGCGGCCAUCUAAGUCAGACGUGAAAUCCCCCGGCUUAACCUGGGAACUGCGUCUGAUACUGGACGGCUUGAGUAUGGGAGAGGGAUGUAGAAUUCCAGGUGUAGCGGUGAAAUGCGUAGAUAUCUGGAGGAAUACCGGUGGCGAAGGCGGCAUCCUGGACCAUUACUGACGCUGAGGCGCGAAAGCUAGGGGAGCAAACGGGAUUAGAUACCCCGGUAGUCCUAGCCCUUAACGAUGAAUACUUGGUGUGGCGGGGUAUCGAUCCCUGCCGUGCCGAACCUAACGCAUUAAGUAUUCCGCCUGGGGGA
rnacentral:rRNA from 1 species